rnacentral:rRNA from 1 species
AUUGAACGCUGGCGGCAGGCUUAACACAUGCAAGUCGAGCGGAGAUGAGGUGCUUGCACCUUAUCUUAGCGGCGGACGGGUGAGUAAUGCUUAGGAAUCUGCCUAUUAGUGGGGGACAACAUUCCGAAAGGAAUGCUAAUACCGCAUACGUCCUACGGGAGAAAGCAGGGGAUCUUCGGACCUUGCGCUAAUAGAUGAGCCUAAGUCGGAUUAGCUAGUUGGUGGGGUAAAGGCCUACCAAGGCGACGAUCUGUAGCGGGUCUGAGAGGAUGAGCCGCCACACUGGGACUGAGACACGGCCCAGAUUCCUACGGGAGGCAGCAGUGGGGAAUAUUGGACAAUGGGGGGAACCCUGAUCCAGCCAUGCCGCAUGUGUGAAGAAGGCCUUAUGGUUGUAAAGCACUUUAAGCGAGGAGGAGGCUACUGAGACUAAUACUCUUGGAUAGUGGACGUUACUCGCAGAAUAAGCACCGGCUAACUCUGUGCCAGCAGCCGCGGUAACAC